rnacentral:rRNA from 1 species
UACGUACCGGACGAACGUUAUUCGGAAUUAUUGGGCUUAAAGGGUGCGUAGGCGGUGCAGAAAGUUGGGUGUGAAAUCCCUCGGCCCAACCGAGGAACUGCGCCCAAAACUACUGUGCUCGAGGAAGACAGAGGUAAGCGGAACUUCGGGUGGAGCGGUGAAAUGCGUUGAUAUCCGAAGGAACACCGGUGGCGAAAGCGGCUUACUGGGUCUUUUCUGACGCUGAGGCACGAAAGCUAGGGUAGCGAACGGG